rnacentral:rRNA from 1 species
GACGAACGCUGGCGGCGGGCUUAACACAUGCGAGUCGAACGGAAAGGCCCUGCUUUUGUGUGGUGCUCGAGUGGCGAACGGGUGAGUAACACGUGAGUAACCUGCCCUUGACUUUGGGAUAACUUCAGGAAACUGGUGCUAAUACCGGAUAGGAGCUCCUGCUGCAUGGUGGGGGUUGGAAAGUUUCGGCGGUUGGGGAUGGACUCGCGGCUUAUCAGCUUGUUGGUGGGGUAGUGGCUUACCAAGGCUUUGACGGGUAGCCGGCAUGAGAGGGUGACCGCCGACAUUGGGACUGAGAUACGGCCCAGACUCGUACGGGAGGCAGCAGUGGGGAAUAUUGCACAAUGGGCGGAAGCCUGAUGCAGCAACGCCGCGUGCGGGAUGACGGCCUUCGGGUUGUAAACCGCUUUCGCCUGUGACGAAGCGUGAGUGACGGUAAUGGGUAAAGAAGCACCGGCUAACUACGUG